rnacentral:rRNA from 1 species
GACGAACGCUGGCGGCGUGCUUAACACAUGCAAGUCGAACGGAAAGGCCCUGCUUUUGUGGGGUGCUCGAGUGGCGAACGGGUGAGUAACACGUGAGUAACCUGCCCUUUACUUUGGGAUAACUUCAGGAAACUGGGGCUAAUACCGGAUAGGAGCUCCUGCUGCAUGGUGGGGGUUGGAAAGUUUCGGCGGUUGGGGAUGGACUCGCGGCUUAUCAGCUUGUUGGUGGGGUAGUGGCUUACCAAGGCUUUGACGGGUAGCCGGCCUGAGAGGGUGACCGGCCACAUUGGGACUGAGAUACGGACCAGACUCCAACGGGAGGCAGCAGUGGGGAAUAUUGCACAAUGGGCGGAAGCCUGAUGAAGCAACGCCGGGUGCGGGAUGACGGCCUUCGGGUUGUAAACCGCUUUAGCCUGUGACGAAGCGUGAGUGACGGUAAUGGGUAAAGAAGCACCGGCUAACUACGUG